rnacentral:rRNA from 1 species
AUGUACUUAUUUAUUUGUUUGACUUGCUUGUUUGCAGCAAGAUGGUGGACCGUGCAUGGAACUUCUGCAAAGGACUUGAAGAAGAUGGCUAUUAGAAUCUUGAGCUUAACUUGCAGUUCUUCGGCAUGUGAAAGAAAUUGGUCUGCAUUUGAGAGGGUACAUUCAAAGAAGAGGACCAGACUAGGCCAGAAGAAGUUGAAUGAUCUUGUUUAUGUGAUGUUCAACAAGAGGCUGGACUCCAAGUACUCUGAGAGGGAAAGGGACCCACUGCUUGCAAAAUACAUUGAAGAUGAGCCACCAAAUGAGUGGAUGUUGGAUGAAGAGCUACUACAAGAUGAUGAGUCAUCUGAAGAUGAAGCUGAAAUUGACAUCAAUUCAAAGGGGAAACAAAAAUCUGUAGCUUCAAGAACUAGAGGCAAAAGAGCUCGUACAAAUCAAGAUGUUGAAGAUGAGGAGGAAGUGGCAGAAGAAGAGGAAAUGGAAGAAGAGGAUGAGAACCAAGAAGAUGAGGAGGACAAUGAUGAAGACCAAGAAGUGGACAUCGAUCUGACUGUUGAAGAUGAAGAGGAUGGUGAAUGA